CAGGUGCUAUGGAGGAGGCAGCAGAGACUCUGCUCUCCUCGUUUGGAUUAAUUCUGAUAUAAUAACUGUUGGUUUAUUUAUCAGUGGAGCAGCAGAACAUUUUCCACAGACAGUUUUCCUGCCCGUUGGCUUGUUUUAACCAGUUUUCUACCUUCGGCCGAUUCUACCAGCAGACACUGAAAGGACUCUGAUAGUUCGUCUGUUGCUGCUCACAUUCUUCACAUUUAUUGUCCACUUUUAAAAGUUCAGCAGACGGGUGCUCUGCUUUGGAGUGUGACGAUGUCGUUGGUGAUGUGGAGAGUGAAGUUUCCGUUUCACCCACAGCGUGCUUUAGGGCAGCCGGGUCGGACUUGAUGUUUGAAAUACAGAUCGACAGCUCAGAUUUAACUGUAUGUAGUUCCGUUUUGAUGGGUGUUAAACUUUCACUCGAAGCCGCCAGGAGCUGGGUCUUUGAAAUAACCGCCGUCUCGUUACAGAGUGAAAGUAGCAGUUCCUCCUUAAGGUCAGAGAUUGCAGCAUCUGAGGGCCUCUUCAAAAGAAGACAUAGUUGAUGAAGGCGUUCUGGAGCAGGACCAGAAAGACCACGACCAAGCAGCCUUGAGAUCUUAGACAGCGUCUCCCUCAGACCAAAGAACUACAGAUUCUUCACAACCUGCUCAAACUCUUGGUACAGGACCUCACCACACGGGUCAAGAAGAUGGCGCUACCCUCAUGAAUGGAGCAUCAACAAGUGACGUCUACAACACAACAGAAAUGUCUGGA
ensembl:lncRNA